rnacentral:rRNA from 1 species
UAGAGUUUGAUCCUGGCUCAGGAUGAACGCUAGCUACAGGCUUAACACAUGCAAGUCGAGGGGCAGCAUGGCCCCAGCUUGCUAAGGCCGAUGGCGACCGGCGCACGGGUGAGUAACACGUAUCCAACCUGCCGUCUACUCUUGGACAGCCUUCUGAAAGGAAGAUUAAUACAAGAUGGCAUCAUGAGUCCGCAUGUUCACAUGAUUAAAGGUAUUCCGGUAGACGAUGGGGAUGCGUUCCAUUAGAUAGUAGGCGGGGUAACGGCCCACCUAGUCUUCGAUGGAUAGGGGUUCUGAGAGGAAGGUCCCCCACAUUGGAACUGAGACACGGUCCAAACUCCUACGGGAGGCAGCAGUGAGGAAUAUUGGUCAAUGGGCGAGAGCCUGAACCAGCCAAGUAGCGUGAAGGAUGACUGCCCUAUGGGUUGUAAACUUCUUUUAUAAAGGAAUAAAGUCGGGUAUGGAUACCCGUUUGCAUGUACUUUAUGAAUAAGGAUCGGCUAACUCCGUGCCAGCAGCCGCGGUAAUACGGAGGAUCCGAGCGUUAUCCGGAUUUAUUGGGUUUAAAGGGAGCGUAGAUGGAUGUUUAAGUCAGUUGUGAAAGUUUGCGGCUCAACCGUAAAAUUGCAGUUGAUACUGGAUAUCUUGAGUGCAGUUGAGGCAGGCGGAAUUCGUGGUGUAGCGGUGAAAUGCUUAGAUAUCACGAAGAACUCCAAUUGCGAAGGCAGCCUGCUAAGCUGCAACUGACAUUGAGGCUCGAAAGUGUGGGUAUCAAACAGGAUUAGAUACCCUGGUAGUCCACACGGUAAACGAUGAAUACUCGCUGUUUGCGAUAUACUGCAAGCGGCCAAGCGAAAGCGUUAAGUAUUCCACCUGGGGAGUACGCCGGCAACGGUGAAACUCAAAGGAAUUGACGGGGGCCCGCACAAGCGGAGGAACAUGUGGUUUAAUUCGAUGAUACGCGAGGAACCUUACCCGGGCUUAAAUUGCAGAUGAAUUACGGUGAAAGCCGUAAGCCGCAAGGCAUCUGUGAAGGUGCUGCAUGGUUGUCGUCAGCUCGUGCCGUGAGGUGUCGGCUUAAGUGCCAUAACGAGCGCAACCCUUGUUGUCAGUUACUAACAGGUUCUGCUGAGGACUCUGACAAGACUGCCAUCGUAAGAUGUGAGGAAGGUGGGGAUGACGUCAAAUCAGCACGGCCCUUACGUCCGGGGCUACACACGUGUUACAAUGGGGGGUACAGAGGGCCGCUACCACGCGAGUGGAUGCCAAUCCCAAAAACCUCUCUCAGUUCGGACUGGAGUCUGCAACCCGACUCCACGAAGCUGGAUUCGCUAGUAAUCGCGCAUCAGCCACGGCGCGGUGAAUACGUUCCCGGGCCUUGUACACACCGCCCGUCAAGCCAUGGGAGCCGGGGGUACCUGAAGUGCGUAACCGCGAGGGGCGCCCUAGGGUAAAACUGGUGACUGGGGCUAAGUCGUAACAAGGUAGCCG